rnacentral:rRNA from 1 species
UGGGGAAUUUUGGACAAUGGGCGCAAGCCUGAUCCAGCCAUGCCGCGUGCGGGAAGAAGGCCUUCGGGUUGUAAACCGCUUUUGUCAGGGAAGAAAUCUUCUGAGUUAAUACCUCGGGAGGAUGACGGUACCUGAAGAAUAAGCGCCGGCUAACUACGUGCCAGCAGCCGUGGUAAUACGUAGGGUGCAAGCGUUAAUCGGAAUUACUGGGCGUAAAGCGUGCGCAGGCGGUUUUGUAAGACAGAGGUGAAAUCCCCGGGCUCAACCUGGGAACUGCCUUUGUGACUGCAAGGCUUGAGUGCGGCAGAGGGGGGAUGGAAUUCCGCGUGUAGCAGUGAAAUGCGUAGAUAUGCGGAGGAACACCGAUGGCGAAGGCAAUCCCCUGGGCCUGCACUGACGCUCAUGCACGAAAGCGUGGGGAGCAGACAGGAUUAGAUACCCUGGUAGUCCACGCCCUAAAACGAUGUCAACUGGUUGUUGGGAAGGUUCCUUCUCAGUAACGUAGCUAACGCGUGAAGUUGACCGCCUGGGGAGUACGGCCGCAAGGUUGAAAACUCAAAGGAAUUGACGGGGUCAUAGCUGUUUCCUG